AGAGGAGGAGGAAGAGGAGGGCUAGGAGGAGGUGGCGCGUCCGGAGCAGAGAGCCGGGGCUGCCGGGCGGCAGCCUGGCGCGUGCGGCGGAGCGGCGGGAUGCGGCGGUGCCGGGGCUCAGGGCUGGCGGGACUGGCCGCGGUGCUGCUGGUGACUGUGGGCAGAGCCCAGGUGCAGCAGGAGCCGUUGGCAGAGACCACCGAGGGCACCGGCAUCAGCAUCAACUGCUCACACCCCAAAAUACAAACAUAUGACUACAUCGCCUGGUACCGUCAGCUACCGGGCCGACGUCCCGAAUUCCUCGUGAACAGUCUUAGAGGCUCCAAAACGCUGUCGGAGCCGCGGGGGCGGCUGUCGGUGGCGGCAGACCGCCGGUCCAGCGCCCUGUGGCUCGAACGGCCCCGGCGCGGGGACGCGGCGGUGUAUUACUGCGCCUUGGAUGACACGGUGAGAGGAGCCGGAUCUGCGGUCGGGCACGAUCCGCCGCGGGCGUGGUCAGGUGGGUGUAGGGGGGAGCGGGUGAACAACACCGGUCGGAUCCGCCAGGGGGCGCUGCCGCUCCACCCGCCGCUGCCGCCUUGUCCCACCCGGCCCAUGGCUCUUCCGUUGCCCGAACGGCACCGGCACCAGCUUCAGCAUCAACAUCGGUAUCGCCAUUGACAUUUCCGUUGUCACCCCCCGCGGGACGGAGACAGACAUACCCCGUCACAUCACGGUGGAAUCGUGAUCGGAGCAGUGUCGGUGUCCGGUGGUGGCCGGGAAAGAGCGACUGCAGUCGCCGGCCCCGCCGGCUCCCGGCGAGGAGCAGCGACAUUCUGCUCUGCAGAGUGGGGCGGGCAGAGAGAUCCUCCUGCCCACGGGCAGCUGCACAGCCCUUGCUCCUGUUGCAGUGACCCUCCCAUGGAACACACGGGAGCUCUUCUUGGGCUUUUGGUUUUCCCCAGCAGCACAGCCAAGGGAACCCUGAGCAGGUGCUUUCCUCUGCUCUGUAAACACAGGGACUCCUGUGCUAAAGUGCUAAUGCAAAACUUGACUUAGAAAACAAGAACCAGAAGGGGUUUCAUGUGUUGCUACUUUGUUAAAGCUCAGAUAUGCAAUUUAAAACUGUGUCCUCCAGCUACACACUUUCAGGGAGAUUUCAUACACUUCCUGUCAGUGUUACAAAGUCAUUGCAUGGAGUUAGGAGCUCAAGCUCCACAUCAACCACGAACAGGGGAUGUCAAGGUCACAGGCACCUUCAAACACUCCCCACAGUGGCUCAUUAUUGAGACCACGAGCUUGUGUGUCAGGAGUCAGAAGCUUGGCAGCUGAGGCCCAGGAGACAGCACAAAGCUUGCACUGGUCCCACUGACCGCAGCCCCAAGUGAUGCCAGGUUUCUACUUGAAGAGUGGGACAGAAAGACAUCGGCUAAGGUGCCCUGAGCGACUGGAGAUCUGAGGUGAGUGAGAGCUGGCAGGAGGCCUCUGGGAAGAGACUGUGGGCUCCAGCCAGUCCCCAGGGGCAUCUGUAUGGCUCGAGUAGCUGACAGAGCUGUUCACAGCCCAUGGUCAGAGGUUACAGAGGUACAGAGUGAAGGAUCAGCCCUGCUCCCUGUCACAGCUGGACUUUCUAACUGUGUUUCCAGGACAAAUAAGGCAGAGCAACAGACAUGGCCAGUCCAGCACACAGAUCUGCCACAUGCUCACAUGGUAUUUAUUGACCCCUCUUCUCACUGCCUUCUUCUGCCUUCCCACGCUUGCUCCCGGCCAAACUACCUUUCCUGGUCUCAGCUUCUUCCUCUAAAUAUCUCCAGGCUUGCAAAAUCACCAAAUGCUUUUCCAUUGCAUCCCAUAAUGAGGUUUGAUACUGCUGUAUUCAGAAACAUUGAUGAGUCUAUGAUGGUAUUCUCACCCUUCUGAAUGGCAGGAGAAGAUCACCAUGGACUGUUCUCCCUUGCUUGGGGGUGGUUGGACUUGGUGUGGUCUCCAGAAGGAGGAAAAAGCUGUAGUUGAUCUCUUCAUAGGGCCUCUUCAUGGCAGAAGUGGGGACUCUCAAGGACAUCCAACUGAGAAGACUCGCUUCUUCAUUCCCUCCCAUCAGCUCUGUACACCCAUUCCAAGAUCCCCCCUGAACCCUCUCUUCCCCAAGCUGGGCACUGUCAGCCCUCUCAGUGUAUCCUCAUAGGAAAGAUCCUCCAGUCCCUGCACCAUUUUGCUGGUCUUGCUCCAGUAUUUUUGUUGUACCAGAAGGCCCAGAACUGGAGCCAGAGCUCCAGAGUUGGCCUCACCAGCGGUGAGUAGAGAGGAAGGGUCAGGUCCCUUGUUCUGCUGGAGAUGCACUUCCUACUGCAGCCCAGGCUGCUGUUGGCCUUCCUUGCCAUGAGGGUCCAUUGCCACAGCAGACACAGGAACACCUCAGAGCUGCUAAGACUGAGCAGGACACAGCAGUGAGUAUUCAGGAGAAGUAUCCCAGCUGCUUGUCCAGCUCUCACUCUUCCCUCAGCAUGCACCAAUGACCACUCUUGGAAAAGAGGACUCUUGAUAGAAGAUGUGACUCCUCCCGUGGUUUUACCUCCUUUCCAAAAAAAUCCCUAAAGAUAUAAAGUGUCCUCAUAGCCCUGCGUCUGGGGAUAAGUGAAAGCCUCAACAUGUGAGCAAGACCCGUCAGCCAGGCACUGGACAAGAGUUUCUGUUAAACAACUUGAAUUGUUUCCCUGUUCCUCACAUGUCGCCUCCAGCUUAGGGACUGACCAGUGCUUUUCUGGGGCUGGGGUGGAGUCCCUGUGUCCCCGUGGGUUCUCUGCCCACCAGAAAACUGCUGAUGGCUGUACUUCUAGGAUGUGUCUUUCUGGGAUCUUAUUUACUCCAGGAACAGGAAACUUUCAGCAUUUUGAGGAACUCACUCACCCGAGCAAGUUAAGCAGAGGCCCCUGUAAGGGUGUGUGGAAUGUGAGAGCAGCUGGUUCACUAAGGCUGGCUGAUCAAGUCCCUUUUCCUUUCAAAGGGAAGAACAAGGAAAAGGGAAAGCGAUAAACAAAGCAUACAAUGACACCAGUCUCUCAAUAAGUGAUAAGAGAUGCAGGGAAGGAAACCAGAGCUCUGCAGCCUCUAAUUGAUGGGCCAUUGGUAAACUGCAGGUGUAGAUUUGAAGUGGGACAGGCUGAGCUGUGUAAGUGACGGGAAGUGACAAGAGCAACAUAAGGAUUCUGGAUGUUUGAGAGGGUUGUGCAGGGCUAGAGAACACUUCUGAAGGCAUGUGUAGGGGAGGGGUCAAAGGAAGGGGGAAAGAGAAGACUGGAGAGGAGCAAGGGGACUGAACAGAAAGGAGGAAGAAAAUAGAAGGCAGUACCGACAGCUGAGGCAGGACUGGUCAGUGCAUUUGUUGGGAUGAUCCCUAUGCCUGACCACUACAGUCCUCCUGCUUUCUUAUUAAAUCAUUUCUUAACCAUCCUUCUGUGUAACGUCCCAUGUUUGAGUGCCAGUAGUUGGAGAGAAUGGUGUGAAAGAGAGAACUGGGUGCCAGUAACUGGAUGGACUGUGCUGUGUGCAGCAAGACCUCCAGCCAGCAGCUGGAGAAGAGAUGUCUGCUCCCAGGGUCUGUCAGUCUCUGUGUCAGUAGCUGGAGGAACAACAUCGCACAUGCACGUGUGAGAAGUCAUUAGAGGGAUCUCAGUGUUUUUUGGUGUUCUUUCUGAAUUUAAGUUGAUGCUCACGUGUGUUUGUGGAAUUUUUUGGCAUAUUGCAAACUUGCUUGCCUUGUGAGUGGGAGGAAAAGUUGUAUCUAAAGCCAAGACAAUGUUGGGUAAGGUGGCCUAAGGCCAGCACAUGACUGCUCAACAGACUGAUACUACCAAGCUGUGCUAAUGUUUGAGGGAUCCAAGAGUUUGGAGAUAAGUGUGAGAUGAGUAGGUGAUUGUGUCCAUCUCUUUGUCAGUGAACACCAGACUGGCCAUGCCAGGGAGAAGGAGGAGCCCCAGGUGCUGGGUCAGAGGGCCCUGGCUCCAGGCAGGGCUAUGAGAUGGGCUGAGGGCCCAUGCUGAUAUUUGAGGGGUGCAGGAAUGCGGGUGUGCUGGUGACUCCAGAGGGUGAGGGGGGGUGUGUUUGCACUAUGGAAAUGUAUGAGGCAGGCAUAAUGGAGACAGUCCAAUAAAGGGACACUUAGAUGAUGAAGAGACUGGAGCAUCUCCGACAUUGUGAUAGACCGAGAAGCCUGGGACUGCUCAGUACAGAGAAAUCUCAGGGAGAUCUCAUCAGUGUCUACAAUUAUCUGAAGGGAGGUUGUGAAGAACAUGAAGCCAGGCUCUUCCCCAUGGUGUCCAGUGACACGACAAGAGGCACUUGGAACAAAGGGAAACAGUGGAGACCCUCUCUGAACACCAGGAAACACUCUUUCACUGUGACGGUGAGUGAGCUCUGGCACAGGAUGUCCAGAGUGGUUGUGGAGUUUCCCUCCUUGGAGAACUUGCCUUCUUCAGUAUCCAAAAGAGAAGCUGUGAAGAGAAAGAUUUUUGAUGCUUCUAGCACUUGACUGCAGGUUGAGGAGCCAGAUGGAGCCAAACUCUGCUUGAGCACAUUGCAAAAGGGAAUGGACCUGUUUGGGAAAAGGAGAAAUUCCUCCUGGAAAUUGGAAUUGUGUUUUUUUAAUGAUAAAGGUGGAGCAUGGGUGGAGAUGGAUCUCAGUUAGAAUGAGACUCUGACUCCACAGAAUGUUGAUUAAAAUACUGGAGAUAAAACAAGAGUGUAAAAGGGGAUGGCACAGGUGAUGUGAUGCCCUUUCAAUCGUGGGAACCCUGAGUUAUGGAGCAUGAUGUGGAUCUCCAAUUGGGUUUUAGCACAUAGUGCAAAUCCCAGCCAUGCAGAGAUUUGCUGGUAUUGUCAUCUUUUCAGUUUUCAUGGGACAUUUUUGGAAAUACAACACUCCUAGUGUUGAGUGAAAGGACAUUUAUAUGAAAGACCAGUGCUUCACUCCCAGAUCAACACAAGGACGUGUUUGUGGCAACAUUGCCAAAUUCUGAGGGAGCCACAGGUGUUGCUGCUGGAGGAGGGAGAAACCCAGAAGGAGCAUUUGAGGCACAGGAAGAACAGAUCAGUUGUCUUCCCCACUUCUACAUUUGCUCCCCCACCAGAGUGGUUUCCUGUAGCUCUGGUAUCUCGGGGCUGGGAGGUGCUUUUCUGACUCUCUCACUCAA